AGCAAGCUGUCGCUUCUAUCUCUUUCUUCCUCCUCGCGUCCAUCCAUUCCCCGCUGCUCCCAGUUCCCCAAUGUCGACCGUCGAGCCCAGCCCCCUGCACGGCCAGCAGGUGCUCCGCUCUCCUCGAUGGCUCGACCCCGGCCCCCAUCAUGCUCUUCUCCCCCAAGGCCCAUACAAAAAUCUAUCCUCCCUCAUCAAAUCCCCCAUCUCUACCUUUUGGAUCUCAACCACUUCAAAUGAAGCCAUGGCUGCGCGAGGUCCUCGUCGGACGUGUCCGGCGGCGUAGCCAAUGGCAAAAAGUGCAGCUAGAACUAUGACCGGCUCACCUCUGCUCCAUUCCUUGACGGGCUGAUUCUCCACACCCAGGGAUCGAGGAGGCAGCUCUCCCCAAGGCCUUCGACCAGAGCUCCGAGCCUACGCCUGUAACGUCGCCGCCAUCACCAAUCUCCUCUCCAUCCCGCGAGGUGUUACAAUAUGGCUCGUCGAAAUUUAUGCACCCAUGUGCAACAACUGCACAAGAGAGGGAUCUUGUAGUGUCACUGGUUGUGCUGCUAUACGUGUGUGGGCAACCUGGGUGGACGAAGAUGCAGCAGGAGCAGCAAAUUUCUGACCAAGGCCUUGCCUGUUGAACACACAAGCAUCUCAAGUUCCUUACGGUAGUUGCAUCGAUCUGUGAAAAUGUGCAUGGUAGUCCCACAGUAUAGCAAGGUGAGGCAAUGAUGUAUCCUCCCCGCCCCCUUACGUAUCAUUUGUAUUGCUCAGUUUUAUCUUUCCAUUUCACACAUUUCACACUUCAGGGAGGAAGGUGUUUUAUAUGCACACAAGGUGAUUGUAGUAAUGCCAAUGUGAGAAAAGCUAGCUUACAUAACAUGUGAGGCAGGUGAGAUGUUACGUAACAAAUUUGGGAUUGUUUGGUUUGUUGAUUCCUUUGUGGAAUGGACUAAUGUCACCCAAUUUGACCCCCCUCAACCAUUUAUAGCGUGUAUGUUGUUUAGUGGCUAUCACCUUAGUUGUCAGCCUAUGAUGUUCUACUUGUUGUUAAGGUAACACAAGGACAUCAUAGCAUGUGAGGGAUAUUGUUAUCACCAUGCCAUUGAUAUAGUUACCAACCUUUGAUAUUACAAUUACCACAAUUUCA